GCAUCGGAACGUAGGAGGCUGCCAUUAUUCACUCAAGCGAAAGAGAGCUGUGCCUGAAUCAACUGUCGUCACGGAGUUAAAGGCAGUGAAUUCCGUUAAAAUGGUGGAGGAGGUGGAGAUUUGAGAAACGCUACGCAGGGGAGGUCCAGUCCACAGAGGGAUAUUGAAUCACAUCGACUCUUCAGAUCCCAGAGACUUCCAGGGUUUAGAGAUUUCCAGAUCAGAUGGCUGGAUGGCAAGCUACAGGAUCGAGACUCUGAACGUAGACGGAUUUCCCUUGAUUCAUUCUUCAUGGUGGUAGGACAAACAGAAACCAAACUCAUAUGGGCCCCAACGUUGAACAUCUCUAAACUCUUGUCA